AUGAACGAAACCCUAGCGCCUCCACCCUUUCCCUUCGCCUUAAACCCGGCGGCCCUUGCUUCGAUGACCCCAAAAUUAACACCCUUAGACCAUCUAACCACUCCUAAUCCAAAUCCAUGAACCGUUUAGCUCGAAUCAAACUGGAACUUCUCGAAUCUUCAAAUGCAGAUCUCGACCCUACCCCAACCAAGCCCAAUUCACACCAGACAUCCCCCUGACCUCCCUCGUUACGAAACCACUCUUGGUUUGGUUCGAAUCUGGUUAGAAACGUUCGAACCCCAAAUUGAACAUAAGAACCCUAGAAAUUCCACACCGUUCAAUCCGUCCAAAUUUAUGGAAGACUUGGGGUCUAAUUUACUUUAUUCGAAGUGUUCUCAGUGGAGAACACUCGAAUAAGGUCCGUUCGACCUCAAAUAAGUACCAGUCAAGGGUUCAGUUCCUGAGGUCGUCCGACUUGAGUUUCUAAGGUAACUUACCCUCCCUUUUGUUCUUUAAUGUUAUUGGUAUCUGUUAAUUGUUUUAAGUUCUUAGUAAUUUUUCAAUUUUCCUUUUAUUAGUUCUGUCCAUCUUCAAAAGAAGACCUUUUAUUUGGUCGAUUAUUUCUUCUGUCGAUUGUUAAUUGUGUCUGUCAUGAAUUACAUAAUCGAGUUGAUUAAUGUCGUCGAGCAAUUAGCUUCAUCAGUCCAUUGCUCUGUUCAAAACAACUUAAUUCAUUUGGUGGCCUAUUUUGUCUGAUUGUUUGUCAAUUAAUUGUUAUAUGUAUUAGCUUGUAUAUUAGAUUGAUUAAGUAUCGUCAAUUAGUUUCUCGUCCUUAAGUGCCAGAAAUAUGAUAAUAAUUCACUUUGCCCAUCCCAGUAUGUCUAUCAUCGUGUUCUUUUUGUGCUAAAGUCAAGUUAAAAUGAACUUGUUAAUGUAUUCAGUUUUCCCAUUUGAACUGAACUGUUUAACCAGUUGAAUGUCCUGAAUAUGUCUGCUUUCAAUUGUUAUAUGAACAUGUGUUGUGAAUUUGUUAACUAGCAUAGACUUUAAUCAACUCAGGGUUAAACCAAGCACAUGAUAUAGUAUACUGUGGUUUUGAAAUUGUGAUUGAUUGAGAAUCAGCUUUGAUUUUGAUUAAAUUUCAGUUCAAUUAGAAUUCGGCCUCAAACGUUCAGUUGUUACAGAUUAGCUAUAGCUGGUAAUUAAACUUUAGUUUUAAAUAGUUUUUAAGGUUUGAACACAUUUUAGAAUCUGUCUUAUGGAUUAGUGCAGUAACAAUUGGAUCCUAGGGUGUUUUAGGUAAAAAAAGAAUAAGAAAAUCCGGUUUGACUGAAUAGUCUACUCAAUAGGGCCCGUAACAGCUUUAAUUUGAACUAAUUGGUAGAAAGGCACCACUAAGUAAUGAGAGUGUUUGCUUAAUUGGAAUUAGGAAUAGUAUAAGCAAUGAUAAAAAGUUAGAAGAUAGACAUAGAAAAGAAUAUAGCGCGGAAUGAAAAUUUUAAGAAAAGGAAAGGGUAAUUGGAAGGGUAAUAAUAAAAAUAGGGUGGUAAUAAUAAUUAAAGAAGAUGGGAAGAUAGUCUUAUUUAUAUAUAAAUGAGAGUCAUUUGACAUUUGAAAAAAAGAAUUUUCAGAGUGGAAGAGAGUAAUAUUAAGCUAGCUUUUCCACUUUAAGAAAGCUAAGUGAAUUGAGUGUUCGAAAUCAGAAGUUAUUGAUUUCCUAGCAGACUCUUCUCUGAUUUGAUUUUGAGGGUAUUUUGGUGCUAUUGGCAUCCAAUUGGUAGCUGAGUUUUUCAGUUGGUUUUUCAAGUGUGUUUAGUGUUCUCUGGCUCUUUCUGUUGGUUUUCUAUUCGAAAAUCCAUGAGGUUGUUACUGGGUUCUGCUUGGUUUCAACUCCAUUACUGGGUUAUCUCCUGUUGGUUUCACUGAUUGUGCUGUUGUUCGCUGGAUCUGUUGCCGUGUCACUGCUUGAUUCACCACUGAUCUUCCUCUCUUAUUUAUUUUCUAAAUACCAGGUACACAUUGCUAUACUGGUACACUUAUAGUUGAAACUUGAAGCAUAAAUGAAAUGAAAUUUUAAAGUAUCGAAUUUGUUUAGUUGUAGUAUUGUAUAUUAAGUUGUAUAUGAUAGUAGUCUGCAUUAGAAACAUGUAAAGUGAUUAUUGUGUCUAACUGAGUUUAGUCUGUAACAGUUUAUAUGAUGAAUUCUUUCUCUCAUACGCUAAUUUAAAGAACCCAUGAUGUAGUAGUGACAUUCUAGCAUUUCAGUUUAUUCUUUACAAGCAUGCUGCAAAUAUGUAUAAGGCCUUAAGCUGUUUUAAUUACUAGGUAAUCUAAGUUACCUCAUUUACUAGACUGCCUCUAUAAAACUUGCAACAAUUUGUUAAUUAAAUAUCAUCAUUUUACAUUUUUAGCUUUGCAAAACUGUGAACCUGUGUAGAAUAAAUUAACUAGGCCCAAUAUUUGAAUAAGAUGGCCCAGGUCCAGUUUAACACUGCAUGCUUUGGACCUGGGCCCACGUUGGAAAACAGACUGGCCAUGUUGUAAUUAGAUGGCCCAGGUCCAGUUUAACACUGCAUGCUUUGGACCUGGGCCCACGUUGGAAAACGAACUGCCCAUGUUGUACAUUCAAAUUCUGAUUUAACCAAUUGCGUUCCAAACCCGACUAUAAUAACUAGUAAGAAUAUAAUUAAUUAGGACAUUUUCUCUUUUAUUUUAGAGACGAACUUAGUAGAAAAAAUAUAGUCACUUUAGGAUUGUCCUUUUAAUAUAUGAGAUGAGCCUCGCCAAAUAAAACACACAAGCUGCGGGGUCCUCAAUAUAUGGUUAAUAAUUAAUUAGACUUUGGAUGAGCCGUUUAGCGAAUAUCCACGACCUUCCCCAAAUUAAUAACACGAUAGUCUCUUUAGGCGCGAUUUUAAUAAAAUUACAUUCCUAAACUCGGGUGCACAUUUAUGUGACCCAAAUCCAAAUCUCAACUGAGUCGAAAUGUGUCAACAACCAUGGAUGCAUUGAUUGCGAUGUGGUUCGAGACGCAUUUUUACGAAGUUGCAAUUCCAUAAAAAAAAGCGAUUUAAAGUUAAUAAAAGCACAUAAGUUAUAACAUGUAUUAGAGUCAGAUAUUUAGCCAUUACAACAGUUUAAGGGACCGUGCUAGAAUCAUGGAAUUCGAGGGUGCCUAACACCUUCCCUCGGUCAACAAAAUUUCAUACUUAAAAUUUCUGGUACGCAGACUUCAUUUGAAAAGUCGAAUAUUUUCUUCGAAUUGGGAUUCAAAAUAAACCGGUGACUUGGGACAGACAAACCUUUCCUAAGUGGCGACUAUGAAAUAAAUAAAUAAUUCCAUUUUGAAUAUUAUCACUUAAAUUGGGAAAACUCCAUUGUGCAUCUAUCCCUCGGGGUAGGCGCGCAAAAAGGAGGUGUGACAACAUAUAUAUAUAUAUAUANNNNNNNNNNNNNNNNNNNNNNNNNNNNNUAUAUAUAUAUAUAUAUAUAUUAGAGCUAUAUAAAAAUUAAAUGAAAAUAAUAAAGUUCAAACUAUAGAUUUUUUAUAUCUUUUAAAAUACCACUAUUUAUUUGAACUAUAUAAUUCUUUAUUUACCGGUCGUACUCAAAAAAGAGUAACUGAAAUUUCUUUUUUUAGACAAAUAAAAAAUUAGCCUAAAUAAUAUAGUUCUUUCAAAUUUUUAUUAUAAAAAUUAUUCGAAAAAGAUUAGCUAAAAAUGUAAACUUAAUAAGAUAAAAAAAUUAUUUUAGUAUUCCAAAAGACGCCACAUGGGCAGGAAAAUUCAUGUGGCAGGUGAGUGCAUGCUACUUUACUGGGAUGAGAUCGUCAAAGGGGAUAACAACUAUCGAAUAACCAAAAAUUACAUGCACCACCUACAAAAAACUUCCAUAAAUUUUCUCUACUAUAGCAAAUGGAAUCACCCCAAAUCAAACCACCCCUACCACCGGAACCACCAGAUUAGCCAACUCAAAUGGAGGUUGAAACACCAACCCAAAGCUAUAAGGAAACACUCUUAGACAAGCAAAGUUGUAACCAGGGAAACUACUAUGAAAUAGAAAACCAAUCUGUUCCGGAAGGACUUAAAGAUAAACACAUUGAAGGGGCAAUUCCCCAUAAAUGCAACCAGGGAAACUACUAUGAAAUAGACAACCAAUCCGUUCCGGAAGGACUUAAAGACCAACACAUUGAAGGGGAAAUUCCCCUAACAUCGGAGGAUAAAGAAAGGCUUUACAAACCAUGGAAAUUCUCAGUUAUAAUCAAAGUGUUCAAAAGGAAAGUGCCUCACCACAUAUUGCGCUCCAAAUUAACUGAACUAUGGAAACCAGCCGAACAGUUAAUCUUGAUUGACCUAGGUUGGGACUUCUUCAUAGUCAAAUUCAAUCUGGAUGGUAGUAUGGUGAAGGAACUCUACCAGGGACCAUGGUUCAUAUCAGGCGACUUCCUCUCAGUUAGGAAAUGGGAACCAAAAUUUGUUCCCCAAGAGGCAACUCUGACCUCCAUCUCCAUCUGGAUAAGAUUUCCACAGCUCCCUAUAGAAUUCUAUGACAAGACAAUACUGGAGAAGGUUGGAAGGAAGCUGGGAAAACUCCUAAAAAUUGACCAAUGCACAUCCUCCACCUUGAGAGGAAGGUAUGCGCGUAUUUGCAUCCAAGUACCACUAUAAUCCCCAGUGGAAACCUCAGCAAUCAUUGGCGACCACAAACAAGAAAUUCUUUAUUAAGAGGAAGGAGCACUAUGCACAAGCUGUGGGAGAAUUUGGCACACAGCACUAGCAUGUCCCUUCAAACAAUCCCAACAUCAGCCUCAGGCACCGGAUACAUCGCAGACCCACAGCCAGGGAAAUGUCACACAAGAGGAAGGCCAAUGGAAAACAGUUAUAUUCUAUAGGAGACGAAAGCAGGGGCCACAAAAAUACUACCCAAGCAAAGAUGAUCAUUCAAGGAAAAAUCAGGACAACAACACCUCGGUGAAAAGUCGGGUAAAAAACUUUGGGGAACAACCAGGUAAUUGCACAACCCCCACCUUUUCAAGUUUUAACGGACAGAUCCACAAUGAAAAACACCAAACAAUAACCCUGAGGAAAAAUAAGGGCCCAAACUCAAAAGAAAGGGGUGGCCCAAGGGGGACAGGGCACGUGAAUAGCCAAGGGACCCACGGCACCCAAAAUACAGGGUCCAAAAGAAAAGCAGGCCUAAAUAACGAUAGGCCCACAAGCCAGCCCCAUACGACAAUGGGGUUGAACCCAAUCAUUAUCUCUAACUCUGUGCCCAAUGGGGCCUCCAGCAUGCCUCAUCACGGGCAUGAAAAUUAGGCCCUAAAGCCUAUGCCAAUCCUACCCUCUCUACUGUCACCCACUAUAAUGGAGAGAACACAAACGACGACAAUGGCAAUCAAAUUCCUUUCCUGCAACUUCCCCUUCUCAAUAUUGACAAGACCUCAAAGGUCGCCAAAGUUACAUUCGUCGUUAAUGAUCAGCAAAAAUACCUAAUCCCAACACAAACCCACCCGUCCGCUUCCCAAGAUGUAGCCAAAGAGGGGUUUAUGAUGGGAAUUAAAUCAUCUCCCCUCAUUCCAAACACUACCACUUUUAGUAAAUCCAAAAAGCCAAAAAUGGGAAAAACUCUAACGCCGGCGGUCGUUACUGCUCUCCCACUACCACCGGACCACCAACCGGCCUCCUGGCUGGAAGUGGCUCUGCAGGGGCUGGGAAUCUCCUAUGACUUCACCAUCGAUGUCAAGAAGAUCACUCUGAUUGUUCAGAACCAGGAUCACCUUGAACGGGUAACAGUGGAGGCACUGAACAGAGCUUUGGCAGCAUUUGGGCCACUCUUCUGGCAAUCAAUGGCAAGCCCCGAUAGUACGAGCCCAAUAAUGGACCCCCAAGCCCCAAACAGUCACCUCCUUCAAUGCUACCAAAACCUACCCUACUUUUCAGACCUGUCAAAGGAGGAUCCGGCGGCGGAGCCCUCCUUCACACUACUCCCACACACAGCUCUGACCAAACCGAAGACUACACCCUUGAAACACAUUCACAAAGAAAUCUCCACAGCCCUGGAGAUCCUCAAAGGCAACAAUGUGAUGGAAAAGCCGCAGAAGAGCUUCACAGUCACGGCCACAGACUCAAUGCUCUUGGACUCGGUGAGAUUGAUCGAACUCAGCAACCAAGUGCGCGAGAUCCUGAUAGUGUUAUGCCCCAAGGCGAUGUCCAAACGUGGACUGAGCCUGACCCUAGCCCACACCCAAGGUGCACCCAAACAGAUCUUGAACCUAACUCCAUUCCUAAACCUCAAGAGGAAAUCCCCACCACAAUAAGUCCCCGUAAUGCUUAGCCCAGCGAGUCCAAAAGAGGCGGCUCCACCAUCACCACCACCCAAUCCAUUAAUGAAUUACAUUAUUUGGAAUGUUAGAGGGGGUAAUGGAACGGAAUUUUAGAGGCACUGCAAGGAGAUGGUUGGAUUGCACAAGCCUGCGAUGCUUGUUCUCUUGGAAACAAAGAUGAACAAUCACUUAACACUGGCUCAAAAUCUGGAUUUGAUAUGAUUAUUCAGUCCCCAUCAAUUGGCGCAUCAGGAGGCUUAGUUCUUAUGUGGAAAGAUGACAUGGUAACUGUGGAUGAGGUGCUCACUAACCCUCAAGGAAUUCAUGCCAAUGGUGAAGGUAAAUCCUGAUGAACCCCCUUGGCUUUUUUCUGUUAUUUAUGCUAGUAACCAAAUUGCAAAUAGGAAGCUCCUUUGAGAUCAACUGCAAGUCAUCGCUGGAACCUUCAAUGACAAUUGGUUCAUUGGAGGAGACUUCAAUAAAGUCAUGAAAGCAAGGUAUAAGUUUGGGGGAAACCCUAUAAACUUAAACCGUAGUAAUCUGUUCUGGAACUGUAUCAAUAACUGCAAUCUUAUUGACCUAGGGUAUAAGGGCAGUAAAUACACUUGGUCAAAUAAAAGAUACACAAUGAGGAACACAUUAAUCUUGAAAAGGAUAGACAGAUGCUUUGAUAAUGAAAGAUGGAUAAAGCAACAUCUUGAGGCUAGUGUUCUGCACCUACCAGGACCCACUCAGACCAUUGCCCUCUGAAAAUCCAACUAGAAUGGCCCCCAUCCCAAAUCUAUCCGAGGCCUUUUAGGUUUGAAACCAUGUGGACUAGUCACCCUGAAUUCCCAAAGAUCAUUGACCAGGCCUUCCAUGGGAGGCCCAAUCUGCUAACCUCUAUUGACAAUUUCAAAAACAGUGCUACCAUCUGGAAUAAGGAAGUCUUUGGAAACAUCUUCGACCAAAAGAAAAGAAUUAUAUCUAGAAUUGAUGGCAUCCAAAGAUCCACCAGCUAUCAAUUCAGCAGCUACCCGCAAACUCUGGAAACUAAUCUUAAUAAUGAACUAAACCUCAUCCUAAAAAAUGAAGAAGAUUUCUGGAAAUUGAAAUCCAGAAUCAACUGGAUCCAAGAUGGUGAUGCCAACACCAAAUUCUUCCACUCUUCCAUCCUAAAUAGGAGAAGAAGAAAUAGAAUCCUUUCCCUUAAGGAUGAAAAUGGAAACUGGAUCACUAAUCCCAAGGAGAUUAGUUUAGCAGUCACUGACUUCUUCUCUAGCCUCUACACCACUUCAAUGGCCCAAGCUCCUUGGAGAAGAACAAAUUCCCCCCUUAGGCCCAUCCUUCUCCAAAUCCAUAAAGCAUUCAUGGAAAGAACACCCACCAGGGAGGAAAUCAAAAGAGAUGUCUUCUCAAAUAAACCUUUCAAGGCCCCAGGCCCAGAUGGCCUGCACCACUUCUUCUUCCAAAAGUACUGGGAUCUGGGUGGUGAAUCUGUCACCCAAUUCUGUCUAAUUAGUAUUAGCAGGUCAGGACCAAAAAUUUCUCACCUUUUCUUUGCAGAUGACCUUACCCUUUUUGCUUAAGCCAACACCAAAAGCGGCAAUGCUAUUAUGGCAAUUCUAGAAGAAUUUAACUCUCAGUCAGGGCACAAAAUCAACUUGUCCAAAUCAAGAAUUAUCUUUUCCUUCAAUACAAGUCCAACUUCCUCCCAUAAUAUUUCAUCCACCAUAUCCAUCAGGCAAUCCUCCACCUUUGGGAAAUACCUGGGCUUCCCUGUUUUCCAUAAGAGGAGAACUAUUGCAGACUUCCAAUUCAUCCUUGACAAUAUGAACUCCAAAUAGGCAGGAUGGAAAUCCAAAUGCCUUAACGUGGCAGGGAGAACUCUGCUUGAAAUAUCAACCCUAAACAGCAUCACUAGUCAUGUCAUGCAGUACAUCACCCUCCCCACCAAGAUCACUAAUCAAAUUGACAAGCUCCAAAGGAACUUUAUCUGGGGCACCACCCAGAGAAAAGAAAAAUCCACCUGCUCAAGUGGGAUGUUCUAACCAAGACCAAGCAGGAUGGGGGCCUGGGCCUCCAAAAGGCAAGCUUGAAAAAUUAAGCAUCCCUAUAAAAUCUGGCUUGGAGAGCCUACAAGAACACAAACUCUCUUUGGGCUAGAGUGCUGAUCCAUAAACAGCGCAACACAUUAAGGCCUGACCAGAUGCAAAGACAGAGCAGGGCUCAAUACUCUCCUACUUGGAAGGGUAUCCUUAAAGGCUGGGAAACAUGCAACCAAGGAAGCAGGUGGGUGGUCCACAAAAGUGAUAGGGUAAAAUUCUUCACUGAUAAAUGGAUCCCACACCAUUCAUCCCUAAGAGACCUUGUUCAGGGGCCCAUGAACCAAAAUGAUAAUGAUAUCAAGGUUGACUCAAUGCUCCAUAUGGGAUCACAGAACACCAUUACCUUAUCAUUUGACCUCCCACAGCACAUCCUAUACCUCCUAAGGUAUACCUUCAUUCCCAGUACAUCCACCAAAGAGGAUAUCCUUAUCUGGGACAACACAGCCAAUGGCUCAUUCUCAACUACUUCUGCUUACUCCAUCCUCAAUAUAUCAAAGCAUCACCAACCUAUCCGUGAGAAUGACCUUUUCAAAGGGUUAUGGAAGCUCUACAUUCCAAAUAAAAUAGAGAGCAUCUUAUGGCUCCUGCACCAUAGAAGAUUGCCAACAAGGAGCUUUCUUCACGUGAUUAGUCUAAACUGCCCAAUGUUAUGCCACAACUGUGGAGCUGCAGAAGAGGAUAUCGAUCACAUAUUCUCACAUUGCCCCAUCACAAUCCAAUUUUUGAAUUUUGUCCACGAAAAGGCCAUAUCUCCCCUUUUAACAAACUAUGGAACCCAUAGUUUGUCAUAGGAUGCAGCAAUGGAAAAGGGUAGAGCAUUGAAAUUUAAUGACAAGCUUACCUAGGCAAAUAUACUGCCCUUAUGCCUUUGGCACAUUUGGCUAAACAGAAAUAGUAUUGUCUUCAACAAUAAAAAAGACACAAUCAGUGCCACAAAACACCAUAACAAGGGAAACAUAAUUAUGUGUUUUGAUGACAGCAAGCAGCCUAACGUCAAGCACCAACAAGUGCUCAAAUGGUGGCCUCCAACUAGGGACUUCAUUAAGCUAAACACGGAUGGUGCUGCAAAGAACAACCCAAGAAUUGGAGGAAUAUGAGGAGUGUUCAGAAAUCAUAACGGAGAAUGGAUCCUGGGCUACAUGGAAAAAAUCCCAUUCACCACAAACAUAGGAGCAGAACUCAGGGUCAUUCUUAAAGGACUGCAUCCGGCAUAGCAGAAAAGCUUAUUUCCACUAGAGAUUAACACUGAUUCAGCUGAAACCAUUAACAUGCUAACAAAUGGCAACCCAACUCUUGACCCUUUAAUUUGUGAAUGCAGGUUGUUAAUUCAGAGGAUGAGAAGAGUGGUGAUGAGGCAUGCCUUCAGAGAGCAAAAUAGAGUGGCUGAUUUACUGGCAAGACGAGCAGCUGAAGAAGACUUUUUGUGUAAAUCCUUAGUACUAGCAGUUCCCCCGGUGUUUGCAAAUGAAGUAUUUUAGGCAGACACCCUAGGAACUGAACUAUCUAGAUCUUUUUUGGGUUGUAAUCUAAACACUAUCAUGCAAAACAUUGCAUCACUUAGGGAUCUAAAAUAUCCCACUAACUGCAACGAUAGUGUAUGGGUAGCUCCCUUUAGCUAAC
rnacentral:lncRNA from 1 species